rnacentral:misc_RNA from 1 species
GAUGAAGAACGCAGCGAAAUGCGAUAAGUAAUGCGAAUUGCAGAAUUUCCGUGAGUCAUCGAAUCUUUGAACGCACAUUGCGCCCACUGGUAUUCCGGUGGGCAUGCCUGUUCGAGCGUCAUUAUCCUCCCUCAAACCCCGGGUUUGGUGUUGGACCCAAGUUGUGUGAACAACUGGUCUCAAAGACAAUGACGGCGUCCGUGGGACCCUCGGUGCAACGAGCUUUUAGGAGCACGCAUCGAGUUGCAAGGACCUUCAGGGCCGGUCUCCUUUACCAUUUUACAAGGUUGACCUCGGAUCAGGUAGGAAUACCCGCUGAACUUAAGCAUAUCAAUAAGCGGAGGA